rnacentral:rRNA from 1 species
UGGGGAAUAUUGCACAAUGGGCGAAAGCCUGAUGCAGCAACGCCGCGUGAGUGAUGAAGGUCUUCGGAUUGUAAAGCUCUGUCUUUUGGGACGAUAAUGACGGUACCAAAGGAGGAAGCCACGGCUAACUACGUGCCAGCAGCCGCGGUAAUACGUAGGUGGCGAGCGUUGUCCGGAUUUACUGGGCGUAAAGGGUGCGUAGGCGGAUGUUUAAGUGAGAUGUGAAAUACCCGGGCUUAACUUGGGUGCUGCAUUUCAAACUGGAUAUCUAGAGUGCAGGGGAGGAGAAUGGAAUUCCUAGUGUAGCGGUGAAAUGCGUAGAGAUUAGGAAGAACACCAGUGGCGAAGGCGAUUCUCUGGACUGUAACUGACGCUGAGGCACGAAAGCGUGGGUAGCAAACAGGAUUAGAUACCCUGGUAGUCCACGCCGUAAACGAUGAGUACUAGGUGUAGGAGGUAUCGACCCCUUCUGUGCCGCAGUAAAC